UACGAACCGUGCGAACGUUAUUCGGAAUCACUGGGCUUAAAGGGAGCGUAGGCGGGCUAUCAAGUCUGGGGUGAAAUCCCACGGCUCAACCGUGGAACUGCCUCAGAUACUGACGGCCUCGAGGGAGAUAGGGGCAUGCGGAACUGUAGGUGGAGCGGUGAAAUGCGUUGAUAUCUACAGGAACUCCGGUGGCGAAAGCGGCGUGCUGGAUCUCUUCUGACGCUGAGGCUCGAAAGCUAGGGGAGCAAACGGG
rnacentral:rRNA from 1 species